rnacentral:rRNA from 1 species
AACGAACGCUGGCGGUGUGCUUAACACAUGCAAGUCGAACGAGAAAGUUUCCUUCGGGAAGCGAGUAAAGUGGCGCAAGGGUGAGUAACACGUGAAUAAUCUACCCCCGAGACUGGGAUAACCUGGUGAAAACUGGGCUAAUACCGGAUAAGACCACGUCCCGCAAGGGAUGCGGGAAAAGGAGGCUCAACCUCCACUUGGAGAUGAGUUCGCGGACCAUUAGCUUGUUGGUGAGAUAACAGCUCACCAAGGCUACGAUGGAUAGCCGGCCUGAGAGGGUGAACGGCCACAUUGGGACUGAGACACGGCCCAGACUCCUACGGGAGGCAGCAGUGGGGAAUCUUGCACAAUGGGGGAAACCCUGAUGCAGCGAUGCCGCGUGAGUGAAG